AUCGUGACUCUUCAAGCCGAUAAACUUUUCUUCUUUUCUGUCGACAUAGUUACGCAAAUUAGAUGUGUAACCGUCUGGAAAUUCCACAUCGUUUGAAAUCCAAUCAAAGAACGCUUCUUUUCCCUCUGCAUCAAGUCGGUAUAUGGAAAAAUGAGCCCUACCAUUCUCAUCAACAUGAAACUCUGAACGAGCACAUAUAUCGACUAAAUCCAGUCUUGACUUCAAAUUAUCCUUUGUUUUACCUUGAAAGUUAAGGAUCGUGUUCAUGAGAUUGUCAAAAAAAGUUCUUCUCAAUAUGCAUGACAUCUAAAUUAUGCCUCAGCAGAUGACCCUUCCAGUAUGGCAGAUCCCAGAAAAUACUAUUUUUGUGCCAGUUAUGUAGCUCUCCAACCGCACUGACUCGAAUGUUUUCAUGUCCACCUACAUCCGGCGUCCUUUCUGCAUCAAAAUAUCUAAACUGCUUCAACGAAUCUUUCCCACU
rnacentral:lncRNA from 1 species